UUGCAACCCUCUACUUAAUCUGGAUCUUAAAUGAUGCCUUGUUUUUAUUUUUUUAACCUUAAAUCCAAGUGUACAUUUAUUGCUGUAUAUAUUUAUUGUGUUUUACAAGUGUGUGUGUGUGUGUGUGUGUACAUAUGUACACGAGAGAGAGAGAGAGAGAGAGAGAGAGAGAGAGAAGCAAA